GAGUUUGAUCGUGGCUCAGGACGAACGCUGGCGGCGUGCUUAACACAUGCAAGUCGAACGAGAAUCUACUGAAAGAGUUUUCGGACAAUGGAAGUAGAGGAAAGUGGCGGACGGGUGAGUAACGCGUGAGGAACCUGCCUUGAAGAGGGGACAACAGUUGGAAACGACUGCUAAUACCGCAUGAUGCAUAAGGUCGCAUGAUUCUUAUGCCAAAGAUUUAUCGCUUCAAGAUGGCCUCGCGUCUGAUUAGCUAGUUGGCGGGGUAACGG
rnacentral:rRNA from 1 species